rnacentral:rRNA from 1 species
GAUGAACGCUGGCGGCGUGCCUAAUACAUGCAAGUCGAGCGAACAGACGAGGAUCUUGCUCCUCUGACGUUAGCGGCGGACGGGUGAGUAACACGUGGAUAACCUACCUAUAAGACUGGGAUAACUUCGGGAAACCGGAGCUAAUACCGGAUAAUAUAUUGAACCUCAUGGUUCAAUAGUGCAAGCCGUUUUUGCUGUCACUUAUAGAUGGAUCCUCGCCGCAUUAGCUAGUUGGUAAGGUAACGGCUUACCAAGGCGACGAUGCGUAGCCGACCUGAGAGGGUGAUCGGCCACACUGGAACUGAGACACGGUCCAGACUCCUACGGGAGGCAGCAGUAGGGAAUCUUCCGCAAUGGGCGAAAGCCUGACGGAGCAACGCCGCGUGAGUGAUGAAGGUCUUCGGAUCGUAAAACUCUGUUAUUAGGGAAGAACAAAUGUGUAAGUAACUAUGCACGUCUUGACGGUACCUAAUCAGAAGGCCACGGCUAACUACGUG